UGUACCAGUGUUGAAGACUGGUGGCGUAUGAGUCAUGCACAGUGAAUACCAUGUGUCUGGAACUCUGAGGUCCAA
rnacentral:snoRNA from 1 species